GUGGGGAAUUUUGGACAAUGGGGGCAACCCUGAUCCAGCCAUCCCGCGUGUGCGAUGAAGGCCUUCGGGUUGUAAAGCACUUUUGGCAGGGAAGAAAAGUUUCGGGCUAAUACCCUGGAGCGAUGACGGUACCUGCAGAAUAAGCACCGGCUAACUACGUGCCAGUAGCCGCGGUAAUACGUAGGGUGCAAGCGUUAAUCGGAAUUACUGGGCGUAAAGCGUGCGCAGGCGGUUCGGAAAGAAAGAUGUGAAAUCCCAGGGCGUAACCUGAGAACUGCAAUUUUAACUGUCGAACUCGAGUAUGUCAGAAGGGGGUAGAAUUCCACGUGUAGCAGUGAAAUGCGUAGAGAUGUGGAGGAAUACCGAUGGCGAAGGCAGCCCCCUGGGAUAAUACUGACGCUCAUGCACGAAAGCGUGGGGAGCAAACAGGAUUAGAUACCCGGGUAGUCC
rnacentral:rRNA from 1 species